rnacentral:rRNA from 1 species
CAGUAGCCGCGGUAAUACGAAGGGUGCAAGCGUUAAUCGGAAUUACUGGGCGUAAAGCGUGCGUAGGCGGUUUGUUAAGUCUGUUGUGAAAUCCCCGGGCUCAACCUGGGAAUGGCAAUGGAUACUGGCAAGCUAGAGUGUGUCAGAGGAUGGUGGAAUUCCCGGUGUAGCGGUGAAAUGCGUAGAGAUCGGGAGGAACAUCAGCGGCGAAGGCGGCCAUCUGGGACAACACUGACGCUGUGGCACGAAAGCGUGGGGAGCAAACAGGAUUAGAUACCCCAGUAGUCCCUGUCUCUUAUAC